rnacentral:rRNA from 1 species
GACGAACGCUGGCGGCGUGCUUAACACAUGCAAGUCGAACGGUGAAGCGCCUUCCUUUUUGGUGGGUGUGGAUGAGUGGCGAACGGGUGAGUAACACGUUAGUAACCUGCCCCCUUCUUCUGGAUAACCGCAUGAAAGUUUGGCCAAUACGGGAUAUUCUGGGUCUGUCGCAUGAUGGGUCUGGGAAAGAUAUUGUUUCGGUGGGGGAUGGGCUCGCGGCCUAUCAGCUUGUUGGUGGGGUGAUGGCCUACCAAGGCGGUGACGGGUAGCCGGCCUGAGAGGGUGGACGGUCACACUGGGACUGAGACACGGCCCCGACUCCUACGGGAGGCAGCAGUGAGGAAUAGUGCACAAUGGGAGCAAGCCUGAUGCAGCGACGCCGCGUGAGGGAUGGAGGCCUUCGGGUUGUGAACCUCUUUCGCCAGUGAAGCAGGCCUGCCUCGUUUGUGGGUGGGUUGACGGUAGCUGGAUAAGAAGCGCCGGCUAACUACGUG